GGAGCCGGCCAGGCAAUCGCUCGGCGUGCCACGUCAGUGGCGCAAUGGGAGGAAAGUCCGGGCUCCUGCGGGCAGGGUGCCAGGUAACGCCUGGGGGACGCGAGUCCACGGAAAGUGCAGCAGAAAAGAUACCGCCCCGGCGGCAACGCCGGUGGUAAGGGUGAAAUGGUGCGGUAAGAGCGCACCGCGCGGGUGGUAACACGCCGCGGCUAGGUAAACCCCACCUGGAGCAAGACCAAAUAGGGGAGUCGUCGCAGGCCUCAGGGUUUGCGGCACCGUCGCCCGUGCGGACUCCCGGGUAGGUCGCUUGAGGCCGCUGGUGACAGCGGUCCCAGAUGAAUGAUUGUCCUCGACAGAACCCGGCUUAUCGGCCGGCUCCUUCC
rnacentral:RNase_P_RNA from 1 species